UGUAUUGCUUCUCUUAAUUGGUGAAGAUUAUACUUUUUCUUCUAUCUGAAACACAUCAUAAAAUGAAGUAGUUAACUGAAUUAGUUUAGGAAAUUUUACAGAGUGUAUUUGUUUUGAAAAUUUCAGCAAAUAAGCGUUGGAAUACUAAAGGCGCUGAGUGACUCUAACAAACAAAAUGAAGAAGAACUUAAAAAGAAAAUUAAAGAAUACGAAAAGAAAAAGGGAAUACAAAGUUUUGUAGAUCGAAUCUUUGGUGGAGAAUUAACCAGCACAAUUAUGUGUGAGGAAUGCAGAACUGUGUCCUUGGUCCAUGAGUCUUUCCUUGAUUUGUCGCUUCCUGUACUAGAUGUUCAG